UAAUAAAAGAUAUACUAAUUUUAGAUCCGAAAAUAUCAAAGAAAAUACGAACAGAAAUGUAACUUAAAACAACUAACCAAAUCAUAUCAACGAUGACUUCGAACGAAAAUAUAUCUGCCCAGGAAUUUUGAAACCCAAAAUAAUUCGAAUCUGCCAGGAAUCUCAACAACGACCUCGACGAAGAAUCUCAACAACGACCUCGACGAAUC
rnacentral:lncRNA from 1 species